rnacentral:ncRNA from 2 species
CUCUUAUCCCGAGCUGGUGGAGGGACAGGCCCUAUGAAACCCAGCAACCAUCACCCAUUUCCAUAGAGGUGAUAAGGUGCUAACCUGAUGCAAGGGAAUAAACCUUGAUCGAUAAGAG